rnacentral:rRNA from 1 species
UACGGAGGGUGCAAGCGUUAUCCGGAUUCACUGGGGUUAAAGGGUGCGUAGGUGGCUUUGUAAGUCAGUGGUGAAAGCCCGGAGCUUAACUCCGGAACUGCCAUUGAUACUGCUUAGCUUGAAUCAGGUCGAGGUGGAUGGAAUAUUACAUGUAGCGGUGAAAUGCUUAGAUAUGUAAUAGAACACCGAUUGCGAAGGCAGUUCACUAGGCCUGAAUUGACACUGAGGCACGAAAGCGUGGGGAUCAAACAGG